AUUGAACGCUGGCGGCAGGCCUAACACAUGCAAGUCGAACGGUAGCACAGAGAGCUUGCUCUCGGGUGACGAGUGGCGGACGGGUGAGUAACGUCUGGGAAACUGCCCGAUGGAGGGGGAUAACUACUGGAAACGGUAGCUAAUACCGCAUAACGUCGCAAGACCAAAGUGGGGGACCUUCGGGCCUCACACCAUCGGAUGUGCCCAGAUGGGAUUAGCUAGUAGGUGGGGUAAUGGCUCACCUAGGCGACGAUCCCUAGCUGGUCUGAGAGGAUGACCAGCCACACUGGAACUGAGACACGGUCCAGACUCCUACGGGAGGCAGCAGUGGGGAAUAUUGCACAAUGGGCGCAAGCCUGAUGCAGCCAUGCCGCGUGUAUGAAGAAGGCCUUCGGGUUGUAAAGUACUUUCAGCGGGGAGGAAGGCGGUGGAGUUAAUAACUUCACCGAUUGACGUUGCCCGCAGAAGAAGCACCGGCUAACUCCGUGCCAGCCGCCGCCGUAAAAC
rnacentral:rRNA from 1 species